GAGAUUUAUUUAAACUAUUGCAGUGAAGGUAUCUUAUUUUCACUUCAUUUUUUCGGUUCUUUUCUAUACCCCAAGUUUAAGUUCAAUGCAAAUUUUCCAAUUGAUUGCUAAUUUUUUCAUAAGAAAGAGCUAUCGCUUUAAUCACAAACAAUGUAGCACUUCUGCCACUUGUACCUGGUACUCUUUGCGUCAAAUUCUUGAAGAUAUUUUAUGCAUGCAAAUUUAUUCAUUUCCUAAAUUUCUGGUUCUUUUAGUUUUUGGAUGUUAAAAUAUGAUUAUGAUGCUAUACUGGUCAUCUGUAUGAUUUGGCAUCUAAUUAUGUUUGAGUAUCUCGGUUUUCUUGUUUUUGAAUUGGCUGCAUAGAUGGUUGAGCAGAGGCAUGUGUACACAGUGGAUGAGGCACUUGGUCAUGUGGGUUCGGGAAAUUUCUAUAUCUUGUGCUUGGUUAUGCUGGACUGGGUUGGGUUUCAGAAGCUAUGGAGAUUAUGAUCCUCUCUUUUGUUGGACCAGCGGUGAAGUCUGAGCAGGGGCUUUCAUCAACUCAAGAGAGCCUUAUAUCUACAGCUGUUUUUGCUGGAUUGGUGGUUGUAGCUUACUCUUGAGGUAUUGUAUCAGGAAGGGUUUUCUGGGAAUAGCAAUGGUAACUGCUGGAGCUGGGCUGGUAAGUUUUUUCUCUCCAAAUUAUACAUCGUUGGUAAUUCUUCGUUGUUUGGUUGGUGUUGGUCUUGGCACUGGGCAUAUAUUCUUAUCCUGGUUUCUAGAGUUCGUUCCUGCUUCUAAUAGAGGUAAAUGGAUAGUUGUCUUUGCUGCUUUCUGGACCGUUGGACCAAUUUCUGAGGCCGCACUUGCAUGGAUUGUCAUGCCAAGAUUGAACUGGAGGUGGUUACUUGCACUGUCCUCUGUUCCAUCUUUUGUUGUGCCUUUUCUUCUUGGUAUUUCACUGGAAUCUCCAAGGUAUCUAUGCAUCAAAGGUAAAACAGCCAAUGCACUUCAUGUUCUGGAAUACGUGGCAUA